rnacentral:lncRNA from 1 species
GCGUGGAUUUGAAAGAAAAGAACAUACAUGUAUGAAAUCAAUCAAUAAGUUGAAACAAAAGGAGGAAAGCAUUUUUCUUGAAAUUUUUUUUUUUAUCUAUCUUAUCAAUUUUUCACUAAGAGACCAAUAAAAUUAUUUAUGCCAUUUUGAAUCUCUUGAAAGAAAUAUUGAGAUUUUGAUGUUUUUGAUGAUUUAAAUUU